rnacentral:rRNA from 1 species
AUUGAACGCUGGCGGCAGGCCUAACACAUGCAAGUCGAGCGAGCGGCGGACGGGUGAGUAAUGUAUGGGGACUGCCCGAUGGAGGGGGAUAACUACUGGAAACGGUGGCUAAUACCGCAUACUAUCGGAUAACCCAGAUGGGAUUAGCUAGUAGGUGGGGUAAAGGCUCACCUAGGCGACGAUCUCUAGCUGGUCUGAGAGGAUGAUCUGCCACACUGAGACGGAGACACGGCCCACACUCCGACGGAGGCAGCAGUGGGGAAUAUUGGACAAUGGGCGCAACCCUCAUGCAGCCAUGCCGCGUGUAGGAAGAAGGCCUUAGGGUUGUAAACCUCUUUCGGUAUCGAACGGGUAGGUGGAGAAGAAGCGCCGGCUAACUACGUGCCAGCAGCCGCGGUAAUAC